UGGAUUAGUGGCGGACGGGUGAGUAACACGUAUGGAACCUGCCCGCAGCAGGGGGAUAAGCGGAAGAAAUUCCGUCUAAUACCGCGUAACAACGUUGGGAGGCAUCUCCCGAUGUUUAAAGAUUUAUCGGCUGCGGAUGGCCAUGCGGCGCAUUAGCUAGUCGGCGGGGUAACGGCCCACCGAGGCGACGAUGCGUAGGGGUUCUGAGAGGAAGGUCCCCCACACUGGUACUGAGACACGGACCAGACUCCUACGGGAGGCAGCAG
rnacentral:rRNA from 1 species